GACGAACGCUGGCGGCGUGCCUAAUACAUGCAAGUCGAGCGGAUGAAAGAGGAGCUUGCUCCUCUAGAUUCAGCGGCGGACGGGUGAGUAACACGUGGGCAACCUGCCCUGUAGAUUGGGAUAACUCCGGGAAACCGGGGCUAAUACCGAAUAAUCCUUCGGACCUCAUGGUCCGAUGUUUAAAGACGGUUUCGGCUGUCACUACAGGAUGGGCCCGCGGCGCAUUAGCUAGUUGGUGAGGUAACGGCUCACCAAGGCCACGAUGCGUAGCCGACCUGAGAGGGUGAGCGGCCACACUGGGACUGAGAGACGGCCCAGACUCCUACGGGAGGCAGCAGUAGGGAAUCUUCCACAAUGGACGAAAGUCUGAUGGAGCAACGCCGCGUGAGUGAAGAAGGUUCUCGGAUCGUAAAACUCUGUUGUGAGGGAAGAACAAGUACCGGAGUAACUGCCGGUGCCUUGACGGUACCUCAUUAGAAAGCCACGGCUAACUACGUGCCAGCCGCCGCCGUAA
rnacentral:rRNA from 1 species